rnacentral:lncRNA from 1 species
UUUGAGUAUAAGAAAGGCAAUGUGCAUUUGAAUUGCUUGGAAGCAGCUGCAGUAGCAAAUUGAAGCAAAUUGCUGUCAACAAAUGCUAAUCACCAAUCAUGGAAGAAUUGCUUGACUAAUACGAAAGGAAGCAUGGUUUGCCCAGUGUGGGCUCCCUGCACUCAAAGCAUUGGCUACACUGCAGACAGAAACUGUACAGAAGUGGAUGGCAUGCUAACAGAGAUGAGAAAUGACAACUGACAUCUAACAAGAACAUAUGGAAACUAGUUUUAUGGAAACUAUUUCCCAUAAAUAAGAAUUGUAAGGUGCACAUGUUUCCAUAGCAACCUCUGCUGUUGUGUUCAAUCCUGUGAAACAGAAAUAUAAAAACAAACACAACUAUGUAUGUGUGGAGAGCCAUUCUGAUGACCUACAGAAUAGGGAAUGUAGAGUGCAAUUUCUAGACCUUUCUCUUCCAGGUUUAUUGUUUCUCCUAUCCUAGGAAACCUCUUAUUUAAUAAUAUGGUUUUGGCCAUUUGUGGCAUUCACACUGGCAACACGUAUACUAAUAGGUUGGUAAGUUCAGUAGUCAAGAAGUUCAUUGCUUCCUCUUAGGUAUUUUUACUAAAAUUUAGGAGUGUGGCCAUCAGAAGUGUUGCCUCUGCUGAGGUGAUAUUGUCCAAGCAGCAGGUCUGUACCUACUGAGGUUUGGAUAAAAUGAGGUGCCCUCUUUAAAAAUUAAGCCCUAGGUAUUCUUAUUUUACUUUUGCUUUAAAAUAUUCAUAGGAAAGCAGUGGUAAAGGAGAGGACUUGGGGGAGAGCAGCACUGGUCUUUUAUAUCCAUCUACUGCCUCCCACCUGUACCCCCCAGCUUGUGCCAUCAGGCAAGAGAGUGCUGAAGUUCUAGAGCCACAGAAAGGGGUAAGAGAAAGUACGAUAGAGGAUAGAGUGGCUCAAGAGGAAAAGGAAAACACAGUGUGACUGUGGGACAAAAGCAAAUCUCCGUUACCCUUGGUCUUGAGCACUCCUUAAGAGGCGUUCAGAGAGAGGAAAACCCAAGAAGGCCUAGGAUGCUGCUACUCUGGCAGGUGGGGGUGUGCAGGCAUGACUAUUAGGUAAUUGAUAAAAUUAUGAUCUCAGCUGUGCUAACUGGCCAGAGAAGCCUGGACAUCCAUGUUAGUCUUGCAAGUCCUCCUUUUACAAGAAAACAAGAAGAAGCAGAGCAGAAUUCUACCAAGCAGAUGAACUUUAUAUGAAAUGCUAGUUUAAAGGUCUUUUCUAUGACAUGAAAUAUAAAGCAAACAAAGUCUAAGUUAUAAUGCAUUAUUUUUUCCUCAUCAACCUACAGCUGUUAUCAAUAACUGUUAAUUAUUAUGCCACAUUUUUGGCAGUGAUAAAGCAGGCAAAUAAAAUGGAUCAGGAUUGGGAAUGAAGCCAGACUGUUGGGCAGAACGAUUUAUGCAGGACACAGAUCAGAGAAUGCACCAGUUUACAUAGUCCAGGUAUAAGGUUAUCAAGAGUCCUAAAGGCAAGACUAAGUCAAAGAGCAAUGUACCAGAUCUACCUGGAAGAUGCAAGAAUGUUUGAGAUUUGACUAAUUUAGUAGAAGGGUAAUGGUGUAAGAACUAGAGUCAGUGUCUAAAGUUGCAAGCAGAGCAGAUGACACAGGAAGAAGUCAAUUCAAGCAUAAGGCUUGGGCUAGUGAUAAACAUGAGAAAAAGAGAAGGGAGCAUUGGAACUCAACAAAGAUAUAUUAAUCUACAUGAAUCCAUAAUCAACUGUUGACUUUUGGAAAGGAAAUUUUUGCCUUCUGAAUCCAUUCAUGGUAGCCUUUCUCUUCUCUUAUGGGCAGGUAUGGGUAAGAGUCAAAGAUACCCAUGAAUAG